CAAAUGAACGAAUAGAGCAAGAGUAACAAAUUGUGGUGUCACGGGUUACUAUGUGUGGGUGGGAGAGAGGAUGAAGAUGAGAGAGACGAAGAGGGGAUGAAGAUGAGAGAGAAACAAAUUGGAUAAGUGAGGAAGGUGGAUUAAGAUUAAAUGAAUGUUUCUGAUUUUUUUUUUCAGUUGGAGCUACUAUAGGGAUGACAUAAAGAAGGUUAAGGUGAGAGAGAUGAAAGAGAAAAUGUUGAAAGGAAUGAGGGAUGAGAGAGAGGUGAGUAAGGGUUUAAGGGUUUGGGGUUUUUUGUUUUUUUGUUUUAGUUUUGAGAAUGAAAAUUAUUCAAAUACAUUUAACAUUAAAACUUAGAAUCCAUAUAAUAUAU
rnacentral:lncRNA from 1 species